rnacentral:tRNA from 1 species
UGCAUCGGCCGGGAAUCGAACCCGGGCUGCCCACGUGGCAGGCGAGCAUUCUACCACUGAACCACCGAUGG